rnacentral:rRNA from 1 species
AAAUUGAAGAGUUUGAUCAUGGCUCAGAUUGAACGCUGGCGGCAGGCCUAACACAUGCAAGUCGAGCGGAAACGAGUUAUCAGAACCUUCGGGGGACGAUAGCGGCGUCGAGCGGCGGACGGGUGAGUAAUGCCUAGGAAAUUGCCCUGAUGUGGGGGAUAACCAUUGGAAACGAUGGCUAAUACCGCAUGAUGCCUACGGGCCAAAGAGGGGGACCUU